ACAAAAGAAUGAGCUCGGCUAUGGCUGCCAUGCCAGUGACCGCCCGCGCAUUGGGAUUGCGGAAGAAUGCCUCAUCCACGCCGCGGCAAUCGAUCACAGGUGAUAGAUUCCUUAGAUUUCCACACAUCGAUCGCUUCGCGCUUCCCGCGAGGUCUUCAAGCGACGAGGAUCCUCCGGCUCCGCCUCAAGAAGCCUCCCCGGCGGACUCACAGAUAGAAGCGCUGGAGGCGCGGCUCAAAUCCAGGCGGCGCAAGCGGAGGAGCGAUCCAGCGGCAAGCUCGUCGGCGAGGUCCGAUCUUCCAACGCGUGAAAUCAAGCCCUGGGAUCAAAUGUCGCUGGGAGAGAAGGCGUAUGAGGUCUAUGUGGGUGAGAAGGGGAUUCUCUUCUGGCUCAACAAGCUCGCGUACGCAUCCAUCUUUGUAAUCGCUGGAGGAUGGAUUGUUUUUAGAUUUGUUGGGCCGGCUUUGGGGUGGUACCAGCUUGACAAGCCGCUCUUACCUCCAGACAAGCUCUUUUCAGGCAGUGGUGACGUGAAACCACCAUCGACUUAAAAAGUGCGUUUAGGUGUGAUCCCAGAGAGCAUCAUCAGUGGCAGCAGCGAUGGUUUAAUUCGUGAUGUUGAGUUUGGGAUUUAAAAUUCCGAGUAGAAGCCAGAGAGAGAGCCAGUUGAAAUCUUAUGAGAUAGCAUUAGAACAGAGCAUCAAUCCGGAGCAACAGCUCUAACAAGGUAACUACUUUCUUUCUCUUGUUUUUGUUACUCCUUGUUUCUAUAGUUUUUCUUUUACUUACCAUGCA